UUUUUCAAAAACCAGUUCCUCCAUUAGAAGAGGCCCUCAAACAAAUUCAGGAAUCUAACUUAAAAUCAGAAGUAAUCCUUCCCUCUUCCCACAGAUCAACAAUAAACUGGAGCUCGACUGGUUGUUUCCCCAACCCCUUUGGAAGCUCUCCCUGUUUUGAAGCCUUCCUGUUUGUUCAGUCAUCCCCCUCAUCAACCAGUCCCCACUCUUUCUUAUAUCACUCCGUUGCCUGAACAUCCUGCUAGUUUAGAUACUUUUCAGUCAGACCAGCAAUCUGUUCCACAAAUCACAACAUUGUCAAAUCUGCCCCAGGCCUUUGUAGACCAUCCAUCUGCCUCAGUUCUCUCCUGUCCACCUCCCUGUCAUUCUCCAUCCUCUUCUUUGUCUCUGUCUCUUUCUACUUCCACAUCCUCUUCUUCACCCUCUAUACAGGCUUCUUCCUCUUCAUCCAUUCUUUCCUCCUCUUCACCUUCCUCUUCUACUUCUCCAUUUUUACCUCCUUCAUCUAUCCCUCUUUUUUCCGCUCCUUUGCAAUCAGCUCCCUCUCCGUGGUUGCCCCCAACAUAUUUAGAUUUUCCCCCUACAAUUCCUCCUGUAUCUUCUUCCUUUAUGAUUUCUUCUUCCUUUCCCCCCAUGCUUCACUCUCCCUCUCUUUCUACCUCCCCAUCUCCUUUUAUUCCUAUCCAUCCCUUCAAUCCUCCUCACUGGGGGAAGAAAGUAGAGAAGAGAAGAGAAGCAAGUGGAGUAGAGAAGAAAGAACUAGAGAAGAAAAAGUUGAGAGACGACAACUUUAAAGAGCUAUAAAUAAUGCCUUGCUUUCAUCAUUGUCAAAAAAUGAUCAGAAGCAUCAGAAACAUCUCUUAUCCAAAAUCAAUUGUGAUAAAGAAAUGAAGGAAAACAGCAGGGCAAACUUGACUGCUAACAAAGAUGUGUUCCAGCUUAAACUGGAGGAAACUCAGAAACUCCUAGAAGAUCAGCAUCUAAGCAGUUUGCAAAAUUUUUGUGAUGAAGUUAAUCAGAUAACAAAUUCUGAAACCCUCUCAAGCGUAGACAGUCUUGAGGCUGGGGAACAUGAAGAAAUAUAUUUAACACUUAAUAAGGAGCCUUCCACAUCAGUUCAGCAGAAUUCUAGUUUCCUCAAAUCAGCAAAUCUGCAAUCAACUGAUCUAAGCUGCUUUGAUGAAGAUAAACUGUCAUUCUCUAAAACUCAACAUAUAAAUAAUUGGCUUACAAAUUUAGAUGAUCCAAAUACUCAGAUUGUCACAUCUUGCUCAGAUAUUUUUAGUAAACCUAAUGCUCUACCUUCCUGUGAAUGUUUUAAUAGUAAAGAACAAACUCCAUCUGCUCUGAGUAGAGCUGUGGAAAGAGCCACAGAUACUGCUAAUAAUUCGGUAGCCUUUGUAUAUAGUCCACCUACAUUUGUUCAAGAUAAAAAAAGUGAAAAGACCUCUGAAACUAGUACUCUGAGGACAACUGACUCCUCUUCUGAAGCAUUCAAAAGGGAAAGACCAUUAGUUACUGACAGCCCAACGUUUAAAUUCAGCAAAGCCUGGACCACUCCACAUUCUCUAACCCAGGAAAUGGCUACAUUUUCAGACGAAAAGAAAUAUUCUGAAAUAACUCAAGAAAAAAGAACUACUUCAAUUCCUACUUCAUUUGUACCUGUGGCAACGCCUUUAGUUUUGCCAUCUAAUAGACAAUCAGCUAGGCCUUUACCAAACAGCAGUAUACAGAUAAAAGAAAUCGACCCAGUGCAGUGUUCUGAUAAGUUAGGGGAAUUGAAAGAUGUUAAAGAUGAAAAGAUAAAAUAUUUUAAUUGUAAUAAGGAAGAGUUGCCUUUAUUUUCAAAUGACCUUCAAGCUGCCUAUAUACCUCACAACUCUGAUUCAAAAGAUAAAAAACAGGAAAUAGCUGAAACACCAACGUCAUUGUCUAAUAUGAUAUCUAAUUGUGACUUAGUUGCCCAACACAAAAAAAAGAAAUAUGACAUUCAUGAGAGAAAUGGGGUGAAGUUUCUUAAAAGUAUUUUAAAAAAAGAAUCUAAGUACGAACAUGAUUGUUUUAAGACACUAGUUAUAAACCAAGGCUUUGAGUUAGGAAGUCAAAAAGCAGCAGCUAUCAGAGAUAGUAUUGAAUUAACAAAAGAAAAAGGAAAAGGUGCAGAAAUUCCAAAGACUAUUAAAAAACUGAGAUGGUUUGAUGAAACUGGAGAUGCAGAAAAAAAUGCUGAAGAUAAUCAUUCACUGAAGAAUAGAACAGGAAUAUCUCAACAGUGGUCUCAACCAUUCCACGCUCAAAAUGAAAGCGGUACUGCCAACAACAUAAUUAGUGUUCCUGCCUGUGCUGUAAAUUCUGCUGAUAGAAAAAAGCCCAAAGAUGAUUCUAGCUCUGAAAAUGUCGCUGCUUUAGGAGGACCUGGAAGAGACUAUGUGCCUUUGAACUGUUUUAUACCUUCAGAUUAUAACAUUGCUGAACAAGCCUGGCCAGCCUCAAAACAAGAGGAAAGUAAAUCCCCUGUAUAUAGUGGUGAUUCUAAAACUCAGAAAGCUAAUCCACAAAGAGGUGGAGCAAAAGUAGUUAGAAGAACAAGAUCUGCUAAAGUCCAAUCAGCCUUUAUAUACACGAACAGAAAAGGCACUGUUAUUCCACCACAGUCUGCAAGCAAAGCCAACACAUUUUUACAAGCUCAGGGUAGAUUAAUUGUACCUCAUCCCCCUCCUAAAUCUCCAUCAAAUAUUAGGAGUCAUAAAAAUAUACAAGCAUCUCAAUGUCAAUCAGUAAGGUCUGAAAAUUCUCAAAACAUUAUUACACAUAACUAUUUAAAUUCAAAGCCUGUGCUUCCAACAGAAGACAAAGUGAAUCAGUGGAAUCAAGAAAGUAGUCUUCCACUCUCACGUGUUUGUUCUGACUUAGACACUGUGAUGCCAUCUCUACCUUAUUGUUCUUCUGAGUGCCAAACUUUAGCAAAAGUAAAUCAUUCAAAUGGCACUCACAUGGUUGCUCAGCAAGAUGGGACGUUACAUUAUACCCAAAGAUGUCCUGUUUAUGAAGAAAGUCAUCAUUCUGUGACUCUUAGAACUACUAAAGAAGAAUCUGUUCCCUUGUGGAAAAGACAGUGUAAUAUUCUGGGUCAAAAUGAAAAGGCUGCUGAUUCUACUGUUAUAAGAAGAAAACGAACUGUUGAAAAUAAGCAGAGAAAUCUUUUAGAGCAGAAAAGAGAAAACUCUGGAUCUGUAGGACAGAAGUACAGUGAACAAAUGAAUAAUUUUGGACAAAGUGUCCAGCUAAGUUCAAGUGAGCCAAAAAAAACCACAAGGGGUACUUCUAAUAUUGAAGAAGUUUCAGACAGUACUUCUGAGUUUUUGAUGGCUGAAAACCUGGUGAAAGCUUCAGUGCCUGAGGAUGAAAUUCUAACUGUCAUGAAUAGCAAGCAGCUGCAGAAACCAAAUCUGGCUUUAAAUAAGACCCAGCGAUUCAACAUCUGUGCACUAUCAGCUGAAGAACAGAAGAUCCUACAAUCCCUAAAUCGUCUCAAUGAAAGGUUACACUUACUAUGUACAAGAAACUAUUUGCAAAAAUCCACGCAUCAAAAAUACCUUACAAAUAAUAUCACUUCCGGAUCCAACCCAGGAUUACACAUUGAAUAUUGUUGUCAAGUCUUUUAAUCUAGAAAAGUCUCCACUCUUUUUCAAUCUUUCAUGCACAUUGAUAGUUUUGAAGAUUCCAGGCCAGUUUUCUUGCUGAAUAUCCCAUGAUCUGGAUUUGUCCAAUUGUUUUCUCAUUGGAUUCAGGUUAACAUUUAUGAACAGCCAGCCAAGGGCCAGUCUCUCUCGUGAUGUCGGACCCAGACUGCAGAGGCGACACUGACUAAGCACAACAGCAACUGUGAAAUGGAAUCAUUAUCUUCGAGAAUCUUGUGUAAAUAUAUAAUACAGUUCUGCAUUUGUUAAUGACUUAAAACACUGUCACCACAAAAUAAAGGUAAAUCAUAAUAUGGGUAAUGGAGAUAAAUUGACUAGUUUACGUUUAUGCUACAAAUUCUACUUCAUUAUGUAUUUUAUUGUUAAAUACAUUUUUAAUGAAUGGAAAUACUUUAUUGUUUUUAAUGAGCAUGCUACUGGAAAUAAAUUCAUUAUAUUUAAAAAUACAACAGAGGAUAUUUUGUUAUUCAAAUUAUGUAUUAACUAUAGUUGUGAAGCUUUGUUUUUAUGUAAUUCCUAAUAAAUUCUAUUAAAUUUUUGUACAAUGAUGUAAAAAGUUUAUGACUAAUAAUAUCCCAUAUAUAUAGUAAAGCUGUUUAUUUAGGGCUUUGAAGGACCUCUGUACUUUGGAGAUGUUACCAAAAGGUCUUGUUCUCAAUUUUGCAUGUUCAGAAAUUAAAGUUAUCACUUUAUCCACGGGUAAUUGGUCUCUAAAGAACUGACUAUACUAGCAAAGCUCAUGAGGUAAAUGGUAAAUAUAAGAAAUAAACUGCAAUCCCAACUGGA